UACGUAGGGUGCGAGCGUUGUCCGGAAUUAUUGGGCGUAAAGAGCUCGUAGGCGGCCUGUCGCGUCGGUUGUGAAAGCCCGGGGCUUAACCCUGGGUCUGCAGUCGAUACGGGCAGGCUAGAGUUCGGUAGGGGAGACUGGAAUUCCUGGUGUAGCGGUGAAAUGCGCAGAUAUCAGGAGGAACACCGGUGGCGAAGGCGGGUCUCUGGGCCGAUACUGACGCUGAGGAGCGAAAGCGUGGGGAGCGAACAGG
rnacentral:rRNA from 1 species